rnacentral:misc_RNA from 1 species
GAUCAAUUUUGUUAUUUCUUCAGGGAGCUCUCCAUAUAAAUUGUUUCCUGAAAGGUCUAUGCUAGUCAGAAGGGAAAGAGUCUUGGUGUAUACAAGAGGCUGGCCAUACAUGUUCACAGCUAAGUUUUCUUGGUAGUACUGUGUCAUGUAUGAUCCAUAGAACAAAUAGAUGUUUACAGUUUGUUGUCGAGCCAUGGCUUUAAGAUCUCCAAAGCUAGCAGGAAUGGUGCAGUUCAACUUGUUUUCUGCCAGGUCCAGAACUUGCAGGGAACUCAAAUUUGAAAGCAAUAAGGGAAUUUCCCCAAAAAAGUUGUUUGACCUCAGGCUAAG